rnacentral:rRNA from 1 species
AUUGAACGCUGGCGGCAGGCCUAACACAUGCAAGUCGAACGAGUGGCGGACGGGUGAGUAAUGUCUGGGAAACUGCCUGAUGGAGGGGGAUAACUACUGGAAACGGUAGCUAAUACCGCAUACCAUCGGAUUUGCCCAGAUGGGAUUAGCUUGUAGGUGGGGUAAAGGCUCACCGAGGCGACGAUCCCUAGCUGGUCGGAGAGGAUGGCCAGCCACCGUGUAACUGUGACACGGUCCCGACUCCUACGGGAGGCAGCAGUGGGGAAUAUUGCCCAAUGGGCGCAAGCCUGAUGCAGCCAUGCCGCGUGUAUGAAGCAGGCCUUCGGGUUGUAAAGUACUUUCAGAGGGGAGGCGUUACCCGCAGAAGAAGCACCGGCUAACUCCGUGCCAGCAGCCGCGGUAAUUC